rnacentral:lncRNA from 1 species
CGGGAACUUCAGCCGGCGCUUAUAAGCAUCGGUAAAGAUUAUAAAAAGCGUCAGAAAAGAUGAAUUUUCUUGUAGUGACAUAACUCUGGCUCAAUUAAACCGGCAUGUGGAGGAUGCAGUUGCAAGUUUUCUUGAAGGAAGGGCUACACUGAGAAUGAGUCCAUCAUAGUUAUGGGUGCAAAUUGAUAGGAUUGAAUUAGGUCAUAAAUCGACCCAACCCAGUUCUUUAUUCAGAUCCUAAUGUUAGACCCAAAACUAA